GACGAACGCUGGCGGCGUGCUUAACACAUGCAAGUCGAGCGAGGAAAUUACUUCGGUAAUUUCCUAGCGGCGGACGGGUGAGUAACACGUGGGCAACCUGCCUGAUAGAGGGGGAUAGCCUCCCGAAAAGGAGAUUAAUACCGCAUAAAGUCAAAUGAAGGCAUCUUCAAAUGACCAAAGGAGUAAUCCGCUAUCAGAUGGGCCCGCGGCGCAUUAGCUAGUUGGUGAGGUAACGGCUCACCAAGGCGACGAUGCGUAGCCGACCUGAGAGGGUGAUCGGCCACAUUGGGACUGAGACACGGCCCAGACUACUACGGGAGGCAGAAGUGGGGAAUAUUGCACAAUGGGGGAAACCCUGAUGCAGCAACGCCGCGUGAGUGAUGAAGGCCUUCGGGUUGUAAAGCUCUGUCUUCAGGGACGAUAAUGACGGUACCUGAGGAGGAAGCCACGGCUAACUACGUGCCAGCCGCCGCGGUAA
rnacentral:rRNA from 1 species